rnacentral:tRNA from 1 species
GGAAAGGUGGCUGAGUGGUUGAAAGCACAGCAUUGGAAAUGCUGUUUAGUUAUAUUGCUAACGAGGGUUCAAAUCCCUUCCUUUCCUU